rnacentral:ncRNA from 2 species
AGCAGCCGCGGUAAUUCCAGCUCCAAUAGCGUAUAUUAAAGUUGUUGCAGUUAAAAAGCUCGUAGUUGAAUUUCGGGAUUGACACAUCGGUCGUGCCUUAAGGGGUAUGAACUGGUGUAGUCAAUUUCUCACCUUCUGGAGAACCGCGAUGCCCUUAAUUGGGUGUCGCGGGGAACCAGGACCUUUACUUUGAAAAAAUUUAGAGUGUUUAAAGCAGGCAUUUUGCUUGAAUACAUUAGCAUGGAAUAAUAAAAUAGGACGGCAUGAUUCUAUUUUGUUGGUUUCUAGGAUCACCGUAAUGAUUAAUAGGGAUAGUUGGGGGCAUUAGUAUUCAAUUGUCAGAGGUGAAAUUCUUGGAUUUAUUGAAGACUAACUACUGCGAAAGCAUUUGCCAAGGAUGUUUUCAUUAAUCAAGAACGAAAGUUAGGGGAUCGAAGACGAUCAGAUACCGUCGUAGUCUUAACCAUAAACUAUGCCGACUAGGAAUCAGACGAUGUUAAUUUUUUCAAUGACUCGUUUG